GACGAACGCUGGCGGCGUGCUUAACACAUGCAAGUCGAACGGUGAACCUCUUCGGAGGGGGUCAGUGGCGAACGGGUGAGUCACACGUGGGCAACCUGCCCCCGGCUCUGGGAUAACUCCAAGAAAUUGGGGCUAAUACCGGAUGGUCACCGCUUCCCGCAUGGGUGGUGGUGAAAAGGGUUUCCGGCUGGGGAUGGGCCCGCGGCCUAUCAGCUUGUUGGUGGGGUAGUGGCCUACCAAGGCGACGACGGGUAGCCGGCCUGAGAGGGGGACCGGCCACACUGGAACGGAGAACACGCCCACCCUCACGCCGCACGCAGGAUCGGGAGUUUUAUCGUGGCGGGCGCAGGCCGGACAGGGCAAGUCGGAGUGGGUGAUAGGGACAUCAGGGUUGUAAACCCCUUACAGUUAGGAGUUAUCAGAAGGGACGGUACCAGAAAAAGAGGCACCGGUCACUUUCGU
rnacentral:rRNA from 1 species